GGACACGUGUCUCGUCCCAUCUGAGACUUGUGGUCCGUCUGGCUGCACACACAGUUACCACUUGGCUCUCCAGUCUGUCUCCUCCAGUCACUCCUGAUUCCUGGGGCUGUGAACCCUGACUCCCAUGCUCAGUGUGAGAGCCCCUGGGGGACGGGAUACACCAGCAACUCCCAGAAACCCCUGUUCUAUAAAAUCCAAGGGGGCAUCUUGGGGAAGGGUCAGCUGCUGGGGGCCAGGACUGCUGGGCCUCACAUCUGUCCUGUUCCUCUCCUUAACUGCCCUACUAGCUCCUCUCUGGACAAGCCCUUAGAUCCUAGGUGGCUCUUCCUGAGGAAGCCGACUUGUUCUGCCCUGACUCGGCGGGCCCAGGCUCGUUGGGGAGACAGACACCGAGGUCUUGGAGCAGGAGGCAGGGAUACACCAGACACACGCGUGGGGGAUGCCCAAGGCCUGGCUUCGGGUUGUGGGAGAGCAGAGGAGGGGCCGGAAGAGCUGCCUGGGACAGCUGCAGGGAGAGACAAGGCCAAUUCACAUUUGGGAGCCCAGACAGCAGGACCUGCCACUGGCCCUCUUCUGCCUCUUUCCAGAAUGAACUGAUUCUGAAUUAGGAUGUUUCCACCCCACCAUCUCUCCUGUUUGUGGCUGCUGGUCGGGAC